AUUGAACGCUGGCGGCAUGCCUAACACAUGCAAGUCGAGCGAGCGGCGGACGGGUGCGUACUGUCUGGGAAACUGCCUGAUGGAGGGGGAUAACUACUGGAAACGGUAGCUAAUACCGCAUACCAUCAGAUGUGCCCAGGUGUGAUUAGCUAGUAGGUGGGGUACCGGCUCACCUAGGCGACGAUCCCUAGCUUGUCUGAGAGGAUGACCAGCCACACUGGGACUGAGACACGGCCCAGACUCCUACGGGAGGCAGCAGUGGGGAAUAUUGCACAAUGGGCGCAAGCCUGAUGCAGCCAUGCCGCGUGUGUGAAGAAGGCCUUCGGGUUGUAAAGCACUUUCAGCAGGGAGGCGUUACCUGCAGAAGAAGCACCGGCUAACUCCGUGCCAGCAGCCGCGGUAAUUC
rnacentral:rRNA from 1 species